rnacentral:rRNA from 1 species
CCCAGUUCGGAUUGUAGUCUGCAACCCGACUACAUGAAGCUGGAAUCGCUAGUAAUCGCGGAUCAGAAUGCCGCGGUGAAUACGUUCCCGGGUCUUGUACACACCGCCCGUCACACCAUGGGAGCCGGGAAUGCCCGAAGUCGGUGACCUAACCGGAAGGGAGGAGCCGCCGAAGGCAGGUCUGGUGACUGGGGUGAAGUCGUAACAAGGUAUC